UCUACCAUUGCGACGGAUGGUGCGCAUGCUCUCGCCUGCAGGGAGCAUGACUGAAAAGGGAAUGCGGUGCGGGGGAUCCCCCCAAGGCCGCGGCUGCCCCCGCAACUGUAAGCGGCGAGCGGUUCUGGAAGAUGCCACUGGGCGAUGCCCGGGAAGGCCCGGAGCCGCGGCGACCCGCAAGCCAGGAGACCUGCCAUCCGCUUGGUGUUGAA
rnacentral:ncRNA from 1 species